ensembl:lncRNA
CUUUUUCAACUUUUACGCGCAAACGGACUGUAUUACAACCAACAACAAAAUACCGCAUGUUUGCCAUGUUUUGAGAACCGUCCUGUAAACACAGUGAUGAGAGAUUAGCAAUAGCAGGUGCAUCACGAUUGCAUUGACUUUCACACAAGUGUCCCUGGUUGUGAAAAUGAACCACCCGCCGACGCUUAUCCUACCUUGGGGGUUGAAGAGCUGGCUAGUUGCCGUCAGUCGCGCGGUUCUGCUUGAGGAGCCUCCAAAUGUCAUGGCGUUCAUAGCGUCUUACAGCGGCCAGCUUCUGCAAUUGAAGAAAGAACAUCCAAAUCUUGAUAUUCAAGAGCUCUCAUACAUCGCCAGAGAUUUAAGGGGAGGUCACACUAAGGACUACCAGGGAACCAUCUCCUUCACUGGUCUGGCGGAAUCUGUUUUGAGUGAAUGCUCUCACAAAAUAUCUGAGGAACGAGACAACGCAGCACCAGGUCUGUCUGCAUCUGAUACAUCAUCGAGCCAUGUACACUGUGAGGAGCCUGGCCACCAGGCCAUGGAGGAUAAUGCGGUCAGCAGUUCAGUGGUCCAGUGUGCCGUGCACCAGAAAGAUCCUUCAGUCUGCGGCGUGGUCGACGUUGAGAACACUGUGCUGAUCCGCACUUCCAGGGCUCCGUCCGAGCAUGUGGUUAUAGUUCACUCUAAGUGUCUCCCUGAGACGCUCAUCUUCCACAGCAAAGCCUUGCCUUCAUCCAACGGAUCCCACACAACAUGUGACCUGUCCCCUGCUCCUAGUCCUGUCCCUAGUGAUAAGGAAUGGGAGGAACCAGAGGGAGUGUCUAGUGUGGUCAUGUUUUAUAAGGUUCCCUUGUUUGAGGACCUGCCUCACCCACCGUCCGUGGGGGAACUCCCCUCUGUUGCUGUUGUGGAGACUGUGACUGAUGAGGAUAUAUCCUCAAGCAGUGACACAUUUCCCUCGCAGGAGAAAAUGUCUGGUACUCAAUCUGUUCAGGUCUUUUUCUCAGCAGCCUCUGAGGUAGAAUCAUCUGGUCAGAUGAGAAAUUCAACAAGCAGCUUUGAGGAUCUGGCUGUGGACAAAAUAUCUGAUAUGAUCAUACCUCAGAAGGCCUCUUCCUAUAAAGAGCUGCCUCAGUCAACAUCACCUAUAAAGCAAACUUCAGUUGUUUCCCCUGAAUGUUCGGGAAGUGAGAUUACUGCAAAAGCUCCAUCUGAAACAGAACUAGUUGAUGCAGCACAGAGCGUGCCCUCAGACAGGAUACCCAGUAGAGAGGAGAGUGUGGGGAGAACAGCAGAGACAGCAGAGAGACACACAUCUCCCAGAGUAUCACCAAGAGCUUCUCCACAAACUUCUCUGGUAUCAGCUCAUGUUGGUGAAUCCAGUCUGCCUAGGAUUCCCUCUGCACCAUCAAUGGACAGACAACCAGUUUCUCAAAGAGUUUCUCCACAAUCCAGUCAGUCCAGGAUUCCCCCUGCUCCAUCAAUGGAGGAGCUACUGGUGUGUCCAUCUGCUUCUGUUGUUAGAAUUUCACCAGCAGUUCCAAGAUCUUCAAGAAGUAGUUUGUCAGAAAGAGCUCCUUCUGAAACAGUAGUAGGGAGAACAGCAGAGACACGAGAAAAACACACAUCUCCCAGAAUAUCUCCACAAGCAUCUUCUGCGAUGAUUGAUGAUCAGGUGACUAAUCCGGAGACAUCUGAAAGAUUACUGACUACCUCAACUCUGCAUUCAGAAGAUUUCAAAUUUGGCGGUGCUGCCACAGAGCAUCAGAAUCCAGUAGAAGAACUGGGAUUGGGACCUUCACCUGCUGAGGAUGUUACUGAAGUAGCAGGGUGGGUCAAACCAGACAACAUAGAGACCAGCAAAUCAUCCGACUUGGUCAGUCCUCAACAUGUAGAGAAUGCACCAAUACCAGAAUUGGUCAGUCCUCAACAUGUAGAGAAUGCACCAACAUCAAGAUUGGCUUGUCAACCACAUGAAGAGGC